rnacentral:rRNA from 1 species
GACGAACGCUGGCGGCGUGCUCAACACAUGCAAGUCGAACGAAGUGGCGCACUGGUGAGUAACGCGUCAUCAACCUGCCCUUCAGAGGGGGACAACAGUUGGAAACGACUGCUAAUACCGCAUACGGAAGGAGGGGCGUGCGUCUGAUUAGCUAGUUGGAGGGGUAACGGCCCACCAAGGCGAUGAUCAGUAGCCGGUCGGAGAGGAUGAACGGCCGCCUUGGGACUGAGACACGUCCCAGACUCCUACGGGAGGCAGCAGUGGGGACUCUUCCGCAAUGGACGAAAGUCCGACGGAGCAACGCCGCGUGAGUGAUGACGGCUUUCGGGUUGUAAAGCUCUGUUAAUCAGGACGCGGUACCGGAUUAGAAAGCCACGGCUAACUACGUGCCAGCAGCCGCGGUAAUUC